rnacentral:rRNA from 1 species
UGCGUAGGCGGUUAUAUUAGUCGGGUGUAAAAUCCUUGGGCUCAACCCAAGGCUCGCAUUCGAAACGGUAUAACUAGAAGAAGUCAGAGGUUUAGAGAACUCUCGGUGUAGGGGUGAAAUCCGUUGAUAUCGAGGAGAAUACCAAAUGCGAAGGCACUAAACUGGGGCUUUCUUGACGCUGAGGCACGAAAGCGUGGGUAGCGAACG